rnacentral:hammerhead_ribozyme from 1 species
AUCCAACUGACGAGUCCCAAAAUAGGACGAAACAUGCAUCCUCGAU